rnacentral:rRNA from 1 species
CCUACGGGAGGCUGCAGUGAGGAAUAUUGGUCAAUGGACGAGAGUCUGAACCAGCCAAGUAGCGUGAAGGAUGACUGCCCUAUGGGUUGUAAACUUCGUUUAUAUGGGAAUAAAAUGUUCCACGUGUGGGAUUUUGUAUGUACCAUAUGAAUAAGGAUCGGCUAACUCCGUGCCAGCAGCCGCGGUAAUACGGAGGAUCCGAGGGUUAUCCGGAUUUAUUGGGUUUAAAGGGAGCGUAGGUGGAUUGUUAAGUCAGUUGUGAAAGUUUGCGGCUCAACCGUAAAAUUGCAGUUGAAACUGGCAGUCUUGAGUACAGUAGAGGAGAGCGGAAUUCGUGGUGUAGCGGUGAAAUGCUUAGAUAUCACGAAGAACUCCGAUUGCGAAGGCAGUUCACUGGACUGCAACUGACACUGAGGCUCGAAAGUGUGGGUAUCAAACAGGAUUAGAUACCCGUGUAGUC